AAGCACGUAGGUGGGUUUGUAAGUCAGAUGUGAAAGCCUCCUGUUCAACGGGAGAAUUGCAUCUGAAACUGUGAAUCUUGAGUGUAGGAGGGGAGAAUGGAACUUCUGGUGGAGCGGUGAAAUGCGUAGAUAUCAGAAGGAACGCCGGCGGCGAAAGCGAUUCUCUGGCCUAUUACUGACACUCAGUGUGCGAAAGCUAGGGGAGCAAACGGGAUUAGAUGCCCCGGUAGUCCUAGCCGUAAACGAUGGGCACUAAGUAGAGGGGUUUU
rnacentral:rRNA from 1 species